UACGAACUGUGCAAGCGUUAUUCGGAAUCACUGGGCUUAAAGGGUGCGUAGGCGGCUUAUCAAGUAGGGUGUGAAAGCCCCCGGCUUAACCGGGGAAUUGCGCCCUAAACUGACGAGCUGGAGUGGGACAGGGGUGUGUGGAACUUCCGGUGGAGCGGUGAAAUGUGUUGAUAUCGGAAGGAACGCCGGUGGCGAAAGCGACACACUGGGUCUCAACUGACGCUGAGGCACGAAAGCCAGGGGAGCGAACGGG
rnacentral:rRNA from 1 species